AUCCAGAAGAUGAGUCCCCAACAGGACGAAAUGCACAUCCUGGAU
rfam:Trichobilharzia regenti genome assembly, scaffold: TRE_scaffold0002484